GGACCCAUAGCUCAGUUGGUUAGAGCGUCACGUUGACAUCGUGAAGGUCAGAGGUUCGAAUCCUCUUGGGUCCA
rnacentral:tRNA from 1 species